GAUGAACGCUGGCGGCGUGCCUAAUACAUGCCAGUCGAGCGAACGGACGAGAAGCUUGCUUUUCUGAUGUUAGCGGCGGACGGGUGAGUAACACGUGGAUAACCUACCUAUAAGACUGGGAUAACUUCGGGAAACCGGAGCUAAUACCGGAUAAUAUUUUGAACCGCAUGGUUCAAAAGUGAAAGACGGUCUUGCUGUCACUUAUAGAUGGAUCCGCGCUGCAUUAGCUAGUUGGUAAGGUAACGGCUUACCAAGGCAACGAUGCAUAGCCGACCUGAGAGGGUGAUCGGACACACUGGAACUGAGACACGGUCCAGACUCCUACGGGAGGCAGCAGUAGGGAAUCUUCCGCAAUGGGCGAAAGCCUGACGGAGCAACGCCGCGUGAGUGAUGAAGGUCUUCGGAUCGUAAAACUCUGUUAUUAGGGAAGAACAUAUGUGUAAGUAACUGUGCACAUCUUGACGGUACCUAAUCAGAAAGCCACGGCUAACUACGUG
rnacentral:rRNA from 1 species